GACGAACGCUGGCGGCGUGCUUAACACAUGCAAGUCGAACGGAAAGGCCCUGCUUUUGUGGGGUGCUCGAGUGGCGAACGGGUGAGUAACACGUGAGUAACCUGCCCUUGACUUUGGGAUAACUUCAGGAAACUGGGGCUAAUACCGGAUAGGAGCUCCUGCUGCAUGGUGGGGGUUGGAAAGUUUCGGCGGUUGAGGAUGGACUCGCGGCUUAUCAGCUUGUUGGUGGGGUAGUGGCUUACCAAGGCUUUGACGGGUAGCCGGCCUGAGAGGGUGACCGGCCACAUUGGGACUGAGAUACGGCCCAGACUCCUACGGGAGGCAGCAGUGGGGAAUAUUGCACAAUGGGCGGAAGCCUGAUGCAGCAACGCCGCGUGCGGGAUGACGGCCUUCGGGCUGUAAACCGCUUUCGCCUGUGACGAAGCGUGAGUGACGGUAAUGGGUAAAGAAGCACCGGCUAACUACGUG
rnacentral:rRNA from 1 species